ACUCCUACGGGAGGCAGCAGUGGGGAAUAUUGCACAAUGGGCGCAAGCCUGAUGCAGCCAUGCCGCGUGUAUGAAGAAGGCCUUCGGGUUGUAAAGUACUUUCAGCAGUGAGGAAGGUAGUGUAGUUAAUAGCUGCAUUAUUUGACGUUAGCGACAGAAGAAGCACCGGCUAACUCCGUGCCAGCAGCCGCGGUAAUACGGAGGGUGCGAGCGUUAAUCGGAAUUACUGGGCGUAAAGCGCAUGCAGGUGGUUUGUUAAGUCAGAUGUGAAAGCCCGGGGCUUAACCUCGGAAUUGCAUUUGAAACUGGCAGACUAGAGUACUGUAGAGGGGGGUAGAAUUUCAGGUGUAGCGGUGAAAUGCGUAGAGAUCUGAAGGAAUACCGGUAGGCGAAGGCGGCCCCCUGGACAGAUACUGACACUCAGAUGCGAAAGCGUGGGAGCAAACAGGAUUAGAUACCCUGGUAGCUACGAG
rnacentral:rRNA from 1 species